AGGCGCCGAACCUAUCAAAACAGGGUUACUCCAAAAGACCUCGACAGCGAACCAGCAUAUUCCUAGUCUUGGAUGGGAAUAGUUCCUUAAAGUUGCUCCACACAUUGUUUUUUUUGUGAAAGACUUGGCUUUAUGCAAACUUUGAACUUUUCUUGAUCCUCAUCUGUCCAUGAGAGCGAAACUUCCUCCCCCAUUUUGUUAAACCUCCACAGGGUAAACAGAGGACCAAGCUCACGCGACAAUUUAUACCUCUGGUCUGCAAUAUGAAACCUGUUGCAUUCAGCAGAUCCCGGUAAUAGACAAUCACAUGAACUUUGUCUUCCCUUUCCAACAGGAUCUAACACAACCAAAGGGUUUGUUUUUUCCACUUCUGGAGGCCACAUUCGUCUGCCCAACCACUUGGCAUCGCUCUCAGAAAUCACACCAGUCCAUUCAGGGACUUCAGCAGUGCGAGGUUGGCCGCCAGGAUCCACUUUAGGUGCUUUUUGUCUUGGGAGUUCAUAGGCAGCUUUAGGUUUUUCUGUUACUGAUACCUCAACACUAACAAGAUCUGACGCAAUAUCAUCUUCUUUCUUCUGAUGAGUUUCAACUUUGUUUCGAGAGAUUGGACACAAGCUGCAACCUCGACACAGAGUGUGCUUUUGCAAAUUAGGGAUCCUUUUGCUGCAUCUUAGGUUCUCUGCAGGUUGAUUGUUAAGUUUUUCUUCUUCAUACAUGGACGGCUGCAUCCUCUGCUUCUUCUGAGUUUUAGCUUCCCCUGCA
rnacentral:misc_RNA from 1 species